CCGGUGGACAGAGCGGCGGCGGCGGCAGCGGCUCCUGUUGCUGCCAUUGGUAACGGCCGCGAGGUUUAGCCAGGAAGCCCAAAGGGAGAAAGCGAUCUAGGCGCGCCUUAGAUGCCUCUUCCCCGCGCUACUCGCCUGGCUUCCCCCGGGAAACUCUCGGCAUUGCCCCAGGCGCGACGCGCUCUCCGGCUCUUUUUUGCCACUGUUGACAGAGGAGGCUUCAGGUUUCGAGGCGCCGGGAGGAUGCUGCUCUCGGCUUGACACACCCGGGAGGAUGCUGCGAGCUUUGGGGCUGGCUCUGACCUUGUUGAUUUUCGCCUGCGGGAUCUUCAGUUUGUCCUGAGGGAAAGCUUGAGAGGCUCCGAGCAUUGCUUUUUUCGCCGCGAUCCUCUUCCUGAGGAGAACUAUGGACUGAUCACCGCUCCUUCUCCAACCCUAUGGCGUCCCCGUCGGUAUCCGCGAGCACUUUGUGCCUGCUCUUCUGCCUGAGCUCCGUGUUCGGCAUUGGCGUGGACCCGUCGGUGCAGAUUGAUGUGCUGAGCGAGUUGCAGUUGGGGGAUUCUGUGGCUGGAGUGCGGCAAGUUCAGGGACUGCACAACGGCAGCAAAGCUUUCUUCUUCCAAGGAACUGCAAGAAAUAUAAAAGCAUCUCCAGAGAAAGCUGAACUUUUUUUUCAGAAACUGAGAAAUAAACAUGAAUUUACCAUGUUGGUAUCUCUCAAACAAACACUUUUAAAUUCAGGUGUUAUUUUUUCUGUUCAUCAUUUAGAUCACAGAUACUUGGAACUAGAAAGCAGCGGCCAGAGAAAUGAAAUUAGAUUGCACUAUCGUUCAGGAAACCAUCGCUCACACACCGAAAUAUUUCCUUACAUUUUGGCAGAUGACAAGUGGCACAGGUUGUCCUUAGCAAUCAGUGCAUCGCAUUUGAUUUUGCAUGUAGACUGCAAUAAAAUAUAUGAGAGAGUGGUGGAAAAGCCGUAUAUGAAUUUACCAGUUGGCAUUACAUUUUGGUUGGGACAGAGGAAUAGCGCUCAUGGUUUUUUCAAGGGCAUAAUGCAAGAUGCGAAAUUUCUUAUCAUGCCUCAAGGAUUUAUCUCUCAGUGCCCAGAUCUUAAUCGCACAUGCCCAACGUGUAAUGACUUCCAUGGUCUUGUGCAGAAAAUAAUGGAGUUGCAGGAUAUUUUAGCCAAAACAUCUGCAAAGCUGUCCCGAGCUGAGCAAAGGAUUAAUAAGUUGAAUCAGUGCUAUUGUGAAAGAACCUGCACUAUGAAGAGUAUCAGCUACAGAGAAUUUGAAUCUUGGACAGAUGGCUGUAAGAACUGCACUUGCAUGAAUGGUACUAUCCAAUGUGAAAGAUUGAUUUGCCCACUUUUUGAUUGUCCUCAUAAUUCUGCGCCUGCGUACGUUGAUGGCAAGUGCUGCAAGGACUGUCAACCAAUCUGUGUAUUUGAAGGCAAAACCUAUUUUGAAGGAGAAAGAAAAUCGGUAUAUUUAGGCUCAGAGGUCUGUUUUCUGUUUGAAUGCAAGAAUUACAAAAUGCAACGUACAAUGGAGUUGAAUUGUCCUGCUUUGAACUGUCCUGAGUCUCAACAAAUAUCCUUAUCUAAAAGAUGUUGCAAAGUUUGUAAAGGCCAUGACUUUUGCUCUGAAGGACAUAAGUGUUUAGAAAAUUCUUUUUGCAGAAAUGUUGAAGAAAAGGCAGUUUGUAGCUGCCGAGAUGGUUUCCAAGCUCUUCGAGAUGACAGUGUAUACUGUGAAGAUAUUGAUGAAUGUUCUGAAGGGAGACAUUACUGUCGGGAAAAUACCAUGUGUGUCAACAUACCAGGGUCAUUUAUGUGUGUCUGCAAAACAAGUUACAUCAGAAUUGAUGACUAUUCUUGUACAGUUCAUACUGGAAGCAUCCAAGACUAGAACACCACUGAAUUUAUACAUGGAUUAUUCAUUUUGGACUUAUGACAUAUAUGGGACAUGCAUAAAGAGGAGGAGCCUAUGUACACUGGCAUUUAAAAACCAUUUUAACUCAGCAAUCAGCAGUGUCCCUCAUCAAAUGUCCCUUCAAAAGGAAUUCUACUUUUUUAUGGUGGAAUAUUCAAAGAAUUUUUAAAAGAAGGACUUUGUAUCGUCAAAGCAGAAGCAACAUAAACAAAUGGGCAAAGCAAAGGUUUAAGAAGAAACAAGAUCCCUACACUAUUUUUUUUUAAAAAAAUCCUGAUAUUAUUGAAAAUUUGCACCUCAUAUUUGUGUAUUCCAGAAAAGAAAUUUAUUGCAAUAAAAAGGGCAAACUGAGAGGGAAAAUACACAGAUUUUAAAAUAAUGUAGGAUUUCUAUCGGUUGAUUGCAUAGAUCUAGGAUACCAGUUUUCAGGUUUAAGCAAAAACCAAGCCAGGUUGAUUAGCUGUGGAUUCAGAAACCAACUAAUUUCAGAAAUGUUCCAUCUUUAAUUUGAGAUAGGAUGAAGCUCCCCAUACCAACUUGGCUCCUAAUGUGGAGGCCCACUGAACUGAUGGUUCCUAUUUCAUUGUUAAAGAUCUGCUGUGCUUCUGCUGCUAAGCCUUGAAUACUAUAAAUCUAUCGGGGGAUAUAUUUCAAAGUUCCACAUUCAUUCAUGUCAAGUGAUUUUUUUUCUAGGCUUUCUUGGGCUUUAAAUUUCUACAUACCCACCACUGUCAUAUUGCAGCAUUUUGAGGAAAACACUUGUAGCAGUACUGAAACAAUCUUUGGAUGAAACCUGUGUGAUUGAACUGAUCUUCCUUUUGAAGAAUCUCUGACAGGCCUCAGAGGAACUCCAGAGUUCCCUGAAUCACAUUUUGAAAGCUAAUAAUCUCAAGCAUCAAAGUAGAGGCAUAAAAUGAAAUGUCUUGAUGUAUCUAAGCUGUCUAAAACUAAAUAUUUUCUAUAUAUUUUAAAAGAAUAUCUGAUUAGCAACUAGAUUAAUGUGGAUUAAUAAACAAUCACUAGAAUAAUGAUGUGUCUGCAUAAUUACUAGAAUAAUGCUGUGUUAGUAGUAUGUGACUAACCUAAUGCGCAUUGCACUUGGAUAUUAUUUAUGUAGUAAACU